rnacentral:tRNA from 1 species
GGAAUUGUGCCUGAGAGCCCAAGGACCACUUUGAUAGAGUGAUUUACGGGGGUUAGAAUCCCCUCAAUUCCU